rnacentral:tRNA from 1 species
UGGGGGAUCGUCCAAUGGCAGGACACCAGACUCUGGAUCUGGCUAUCUAGGUUCGAAUCCUGGUCCCCCAGCCA